rnacentral:misc_RNA from 1 species
UUUCAAUAUUACUUCACCUUCCUACCGCAGCCUCUCUCUCCGGCGAAUACAUAUCCAUAAUCUCCACCGUAGUUGCCGUAUAUUCCGCCGCCGGCGAAUCUCACUUGUCAAGCAUUUUUUUUAUUGGUAAAUGAAAAUAAAGUAGAGUAUAUAAUAUAUUCUUUCCGUUUCUCCAAAUUACCGUUUCAAUAAAAAACGAGGAAAUUGUGACCUCUGAAAGCUGUUGCACUGUUUUCUUCUGCUGUGUUUUUUUUAGGGACGUAUUUUUUCUGUGAAGUUAUUUGGAGGAGAUAUAAAUUUGGG